rnacentral:lncRNA from 1 species
GGUUCGGCCCUCGUAAUACCAUGACCAUUAGUCCCUGGCCCAUGCCAACUUUUAACUUUCAACUUUCAACUUUCUAAAACUAAUGGCACUAACAGAAACUUUCAACUUUCAUCUACUCUCAUUUUUUCAGUAAGUUAAUCACAAACUUGUGAUUCAAACAAUUUUCAAAGAAUUCAAAUUUGAACUAUUCAGACUUGAAAACUAAUGGCACUAACAGAAAGUUUAUACUUUUUCUAAAACUAAUGGCACUAACAGAAAGUUUAUAAUUUUGUUGACCUAAAAUCAAAAAGAAUUAAAAAAUAAAGCAAAAACAAAAGGAAAUAAAUAAUGCAGAAAACAAAACAAAAAAACUGGAANNNNNNNNNNAAUGUCAAGGCUGACCCAAGCAUCCUAAUAAACAAUGAAGAUUAUCCAUGGUUACGGUGCAAUAAGCAAAUGACACAAGCGAAGAAAAAGUGAAGACUUUCUGCCGCAACUUUGCAACACAUGAACAUGCUACCAUUGUCCGUUUUAUACAUGCACAUGCUAUGUGGGUGAAAUUAUGAUACCAUCCCAACUUUCAACUUUUUCAGAGUUCAUUUGAAAUGCUUUCAUGUCUUAUGGUUCGGUCCUCGUAAUACCAUGACCAUUAGUCCCUGGCCCAUGCCAACUUUUAACUUUCAACUUUCAACUUUCUAAAACUAAUGGCACUAACAGAAACUUUCAACUUUCAUCUAUUCUCAUUUUUAGUAAGUUAAUCACAAACUUGUGAUUCAAACAAUUUUCGAAGAAUUCAAAUUUUAACUAUUCAAAUUUGAAAACUAAUGGCACUAACAGAAAGUUUAUAAUUUUUCUAAAACUAAUGGCACUAACAGAAAGUUUAUAAUUUUGCUGACCUAAAAUCAAAAAGAAUUAAAAAAUAAAGCAAAAACAAAAGGAAAUAAAUAAUGCAGAAAACAAAACAAAAAAACUGGAAAAAAAUAAAAAUAGCAACAAUAAGUAUUUUGUUGUAAGUAGAAACAAAAUAAAAUAAAUAAAGAAACAAAGAAAACAAAAAACAAAAAAA